GGAGGUAUGGGACUGUAGGUAGAGGUAUGGGACUGUAGGUGGAGGUAUAGAGGUAUGGGACUGUAGGUGGAGGUAUAGAGGUAUGGGACUGUAGGUGGAGGUAUAGAGGUAUGGGACUGUAGGUGGAGGUAUAGAGGUAUGGGACUGUAGGUGGAGGUAUGGGACUGUAGGUGGAGGUAUAGAGGUAUGGGACUGUAGGUGGAGGUAUGGGACUGUAGGUGGAGGUAUAGAGGUAUGGGACUGUAGGUGGAGGUAUGGGACUGUAGGUGGAGGUAUAGAGGUAUGGGACUGUAGGUGGAGGUAUAGAGGUAUGGGACUGUAGGUGGAGUUAUAGAGGUAUGGGACUGUAGGUGGAGGUAUGGGACUGUAGGUGGAGGUAUGGGACUGUAGGUGGAGGUAUAGAGGUAUGGGACUGUAGGUGGAGGUAUAGAGGUAUGGGACUGUAGGUGGAGGGAUAGAGGUAUGGGACUGUAGGUGGAGGUAUAAAGGUAUGGGACUGUAGGUGGAGGUAUAGCGGUAUGGGACUGUAGGUGGAGGUAUAGAGGUAUGGGACUGUAGGUGGAGGUAUGGGACUGUAGGUGGAGGUAUAGAGGUAUGGGACUGUAGGUGGAGGUAUAGAGGUAUGGGACUGUAGGUGGAGGUAUAGAGGUAUGGGACUGUAGGUGGAGGUAUGGGACUGUAG
rnacentral:lncRNA from 1 species